AUAUUUUAAAAUUUUAAUUACUUAAAAUUUAUCAAUUUUUUGAAACAAGAUUUUCUUGCUUUUAAAUUUUUUUUAAAACUUAUUUCCAUUUUUUCUUCCUCUUCUUCUUCCUAUUUCUUCGUCCCGUAGCCACACAGAGCCAAGACCUUUACCUCAAGCAUUAAUGGCUUCUGAGUUCCCUCCAAACUUUGUUCGGGUCACUUUCUCCUUUUCCUUUAUUUCUCCGAUCUCUUUCAUCAUCUCUCCCUAAUAUGAUUUUUUUUUCUUUCAAUCUCUUUUCUCAUCAUGGAUUCUCUCAAAAUGUUGGAUAUGCAUUAUAAAAUGUUAUUGGAUCUAUGAAGGAAUGAAGUAAGCAUUGAGGUUAUGAGGUUGAAUCUUUUCUACUGCUAAGGUAAGGGCAAAGAUUGAGUCGACCAGCCAUGAGUACAGAGAGCAUGAAGCGACGCGUACAUGUUUGGCCUGCCCGACUGCUUUGGUUGGGGGUAUUUUCGAGAAAUGGCUGUAAUAACCUAUGAUUUUAAUACGGAUCAACUGUAAACUUAUUUUAAGUUGUAAAUAGUUUUCAAACCUUAUUUUGGGAUCCCAAAUGUUAAAUACUAGAAGUUUUCAAUGAAACCACGCA